CCUACGGGGGGCUGCAGUGGGGAAUCUUCGGCAAUGGACGGAAGUCUGACCGAGCGACGCCGCGUGUAUGAUGAAGGUCUUCGGAUUGUAAAAUACUGUCGAUAGGGCGGAAAUUUAGGAGGGCUAUCCCUCUUAUUUGACCUAUCUUUUGAGGAAGGACGGGCUAAGUUCGUGCCAGCAGCCGCGGUAAGACGAACUGUUCUAACGUUAUUCGGAAUCACUGGGCUUAAAGGGCGCGUAGGCUGUUUGUUAAGCGGGGUCUGAAAUCCCUCGGCUCAACCGAGGAACUGGGCUUCGAACUGGCAGACUAGAGUGAAGUAGGGGUAAGCGGAACUUGCGGUGGAGCGGUGAAAUGCUUUGAUAUCGCAAGGAACACCGGCGGCGAAGGCGGCUUACUGGGCUUCAACUGACGCUUAAGCGCGAAAGCUAGGGUAGCGAACGGGCUUAGAUACCCCGGUAGUC
rnacentral:rRNA from 1 species